rnacentral:misc_RNA from 1 species
UUUUGUCAUUUGCUCUUGUUCUUUGAUGGUUUGCAUUGAUGGGUUUGUUUGCAAUGGAAAGUUUAGUCGAAUUUUUGCUUUUUUUGGGUUAAUCUUCAUCAACAUAUAUCAAUUAAUGCUAUUUCAUAAAUUUGCGUUGAUUGGUUUAUUUAGAAUUGGUAAAUUUGGUUGAAGGUUUUUCUUUUCCUUGAUUGGAGUAGCAUUUUUUGAACAUGCUUUUUCAUUCCUACAAAUACACGUGCUCUUUACACAAUAAUAAAUCGUAUAAGAAAAGUAAAGAAAAGGAAUGAGAUUUUAGUUCACGAUGGUUUGUGGAAGCGAAGAUGGAUUGUUUGCUUUUCUAGUUUUCUUUACAAUUGUUUUUUCUUUUUUUCUUAGAAAAAAAGAGUCUUUGAGAAUUGAUUUAGUUUGGUAUAGUCAAAUUUACUGUUUGAUCUUUAUCAUCUGAAAUUG